CAGCACAAAGCAGUAUUCUGAGAAGCGCAGGAAGCACAGAAGAGAGCAAGAGCUACUCCUUUGAAGAGGUGGCGGGCUGCAGGAAAAAUGAGAUGGGGCUGUAAGGAGUAGAAAUGUACUUUCCCCAAGUCUACAAAGUACCUGCUGGAGUCCUGGGAGGCUUUUUUGGAUGCCACCAGGUUCCAGAUGCUAGCAUGAUGCCAACCAGACUUUCCUGGACAGACAACCCCACCAAUGUGUCCUAGAGCUCCACUUCCCCAGAACCCUGCCCCACUAGGGAAAAAGAGAGACAGCCUGGGAGUAUGGAUCGACCUGUCAACGCCCAUGUUCAGUGAGGAAGCAAUUACAGAAGCCAGACCUUCCACCUUCUGCAUCCCACAAUGACCUUGGGUCCAUACUUCCAGAGGGUUAAAGAAUAGGAAAGCUAUCAAGGGAGGGGAUGGGUCACAGAGUUCCGGUGGUGGGAACUGUGUGGAGUUGUACCCUUC